rnacentral:rRNA from 1 species
GACAGAGGGUGCAAACGUUGUUCGGAAUUACUGGGCGUAAAGCGUGUGUAGGCGGCUUCGCAAGUCGGAUGUGAAAGCCCCGGGCUCAACCCGGGAAGUGCACUCGAUACUGCGGAGCUAGAGUGUCGGAGAGGUUGGUGGAAUUCUCGGUGUAGAGGUGAAAUUCGUAGAUAUCGAGAGGAACACCAGUGGCGAAGGCGGCUCACUGGCCCGGUACUGACGCUGAGGCACGAAAGCGUGGGGAGCAAACAGG